UUAAGUUAGAAAGGGCGCACGGUGGAUGCCUUGGCACUAGGAGCCGAUGAAGGACGGGACGAACACCGAUAUGCUUCGGGGAGCUGUAAGCAAGCUUUGAUCCGGAGAUUUCCGAAUGGGGAAACCCACCACUCGUAAUGGAGUGGUAUCCAUAUCUGAAUACAUAGGAUAUGAGAAGGCAGACCCGGGGAACUGAAACAUCUAAGUACCCGGAGGAAGAGAAAGCAAAUGCGAUUCCCUGAGUAGCGGCGAGCGAAACGGGAUCAGCCCAAACCAAGAGGCUUGCCUCUUGGGGUUGUAGGACACUCUGUACGGAGUUACAAAGGAACGAGGUAGAUGAAGAGGUCUGGAAAGGCCCGCCAUAGGAGGUAACAGCCCUGUAGUCAAAACUUCGUUCUCUCCUGAGUGGAUCCUGAGUACGGCGGAACACGUGAAAUUCCGUCGGAAUCCGGGAGGACCAUCUCCCAAGGCUAAAUACUCCCUAGUGACCGAUAGUGAACCAGUACCGUGAGGGAAAGGUGAAAAGCACCCCGGAAGGGGAGUGAAAGAGAUCCUGAAACCGUGUGCCUACAAGUAGUCAGAGCCCGUUAACGGGUGAUGGCGUGCCUUUUGUAGAAUGAACCGGCGAGUUACGAUCCCGUGCAAGGUUAAGCAGAAGAUGCGGAGCCGCAGCGAAAGCGAGUCUGAAUAGGGCGAAUUGAGUACGUGGUCGUAGACCCGAAACCAGGUGAUCUACCCAUGUCCAGGGUGAAGUUCAGGUAACACUGAAUGGAGGCCCGAACCCACGCACGUUGAAAAGUGCGGGGAUGAGGUGUGGGUAGGGGUGAAAUGCCAAUCGAACCUGGAGAUAGCUGGUUCUCUCCGAAAUAGCUUUAGGGCUAGCCUCAAGGUAAGAGUCUCGGAGGUAGAGCACUGAUUGGACUAGGGGCCCUACCGGGUUACCGAAUUCAGUCAAACUCCGAAUGCCGAUGACUUAUCCUUGGGAGUCAGACUGCGAGUGAUAAGAUCCGUAGUCGAAAGGGAAACAGCCCAGACCGCCAGCUAAGGUCCCAAAGUAUACGUUAAGUGGAAAAGGAUGUGGAGUUGCUUAGACAACCAGGAUGUUGGCUUAGAAGCAGCCACCAUUUAAAGAGUGCGUAAUAGCUCACUGGUCGAGUGACUCUGCGCCGAAAAUGUACCGGGGCUAAACGUAUCACCGAAGCUGCGGACUGUUCUUCGAACAGUGGUAGGAGAGCGUUCUAAGGGCUGUGAAGCAAGACCGGAAGGACUUGUGGAGCGCUUAGAAGUGAGAAUGCCGGUAUGAGUAGCGAAAGAGGGGUGAGAAUCCCCUCCACCGAAUGCCUAAGGUUUCCUGAGGAAGGCUCGUCCGCUCAGGGUUAGUCGGGACCUAAGCCGAGGCCGAAAGGCGUAGGCGAUGGAUAACAGGUUGAUAUUCCUGUACCACCUCCUCACCAUUUGAGCAAUGGGGGGACGCAGGAGGAUAGGGUAAGCGCGGUAUUGGAUAUCCGCGUCCAAGCAGUUAGGCUGGGAAAUAGGCAAAUCCGUUUCCUGUGAAGGCUGAGCUGUGAUGGCGAGCGAAUUAUAGUAGCGAAGUUCCUGAUUCCACACUGCCAAGAAAAGCCUCUAGCGAGGUGAGAGGUGCCCGUACCGCAAACCGACACAGGUAGGCGAGGAGAGAAUCCUAAGGUGAUCGAGAGAACUCUCGUUAAGGAACUCGGCAAAAUGACCCCGUAACUUCGGGAGAAGGGGUGCUCUGUUAGGGUGCAAGCCCGAGAGAGCCGCAGUGAAUAGGCCCAGGCGACUGUUUAGCAAAAACACAGGUCUCUGCGAAGCCGUAAGGCGAAGUAUAGGGGCUGACGCCUGCCCGGUGCUGGAAGGUUAAGAGGAGCGCUUAGCGUAAGCGAAGGUGCGAAUUGAAGCCCCAGUAAACGGCGGCCGUAACUAUAACGGUCCUAAGGUAGCGAAAUUCCUUGUCGGGUAAGUUCCGACCCGCACGAAAGGCGCAACGAUCUGGGCACUGUCUCAACGAGAGACUCGGUGAAAUUAUAGUACCUGUGAAGAUGCAGGUUACCCGCGACAGGACGGAAAGACCCCGUGGAGCUUUACUGCAGCCUGAUAUUGAAUGUUGGUACAGCUUGUACAGGAUAGGUAGGAGCCUUGGAAACCGGAGCGCCAGCUUCGGUGGAGGCAUCGGUGGGAUACUACCCUGGCUGUAUUGACCUUCUAACCCGCCGCCCUUAUCGGGCGGGGAGACAGUGUCAGGUGGGCAGUUUGACUGGGGCGGUCGCCUCCUAAAAGGUAACGGAGGCGCCCAAAGGUUCCCUCAGAAUGGUUGGAAAUCAUUCGCAGAGUGUAAAGGCACAAGGGAGCUUGACUGCGAGACCUACAAGUCGAGCAGGGACGAAAGUCGGGCUUAGUGAUCCGGUGGUUCCGCAUGGAAGGGCCAUCGCUCAACGGAUAAAAGCUACCCCGGGGAUAACAGGCUUAUCUCCCCCAAGAGUCCACAUCGACGGGGAGGUUUGGCACCUCGAUGUCGGCUCAUCGCAUCCUGGGGCUGUAGUCGGUCCCAAGGGUUGGGCUGUUCGCCCAUUAAAGCGGUACGCGAGCUGGGUUCAGAACGUCGUGAGACAGUUCGGUCCCUAUCCGUCGCGGGCGCAGGAAAUUUGAGAGGAGCUGUCCUUAGUACGAGAGGACCGGGAUGGACGCACCGCUGGUGUACCAGUUGUUCUGCCAAGGGCAUCGCUGGGUAGCUAUGUGCGGACGGGAUAAGUGCUGAAAGCAUCUAAGCAUGAAGCCCCCCUCAAGAUGAGAUUUCCCAUUCCGCAAGGAAGUAAGAUCCCUGAAAGAUGAUCAGGUUGAUAGGUCUGAGGUGGAAGUGUGGCGACACAUGGAGCUGACAGAUACUAAUCGAUCGAGGACUUAACCAA
rnacentral:rRNA from 1 species